AAUCCUUUUUCUCUGUCGUCUGUUGUGCCCGAGUUCUCAUCUUUGUGGCUUCAGAACUGAAAGCGAUUUUCUUUCUCCCUAGCUGCUCCUUCACUAUCUGAGAUUCGAUCGAACAUGGAGCGGAUAAUCGGGGGAAAGUACAAGCUUGGCCGCAAGAUCGGGAGUGGAUCUUUUGGUGAAAUUUAUCUUGCUACACAUAUCGAUACGUUUGAGAUCGUUGCAGUUAAGAUCGAGAACAACAGAACAAAGCAUCCGCAGCUGCUCUAUGAAGCCAAGUUGUACAAUAUUCUUCAGGGAGGAAGUGGUAUUCCUAGCAUAAAAUGGUCUGGAGUGGAUGGGCAUGACAAUGUGCUUGUGAUUGAUUUGCUGGGACCGAGUCUUGAGGAUCUGUUUGUGUAUUGUGGAAGGAAGCUUUCGCUUAAAUCAGUGCUUAUGCUGGCCGAUCAAAUCAUUACGAGAAUAGAAUAUUUUCACUCAAAAGGAUUUUUGCAUAGAGACAUAAAACCUGAUAACUUCCUCAUGGGUCUUGGCCGGAAAGCAAACCAGGUCUAUAUAAUUGAUUUUGGCCUUGCAAAAAGAUAUCGGGAUGCCACAACAAAUCGUCACAUCCCUUACAAGGAGAACAAAAACUUGACAGGGACUGCACGUUAUGCAAGCUGCAAUACUCAUCUUGGAAUUGAACAAAGUCGACGAGAUGAUUUAGAAGCACUUGGCUAUGUCCUCCUGUACUUUCUGAGAGGGAGCCUUCCAUGGCAGGGUAUUAAAGCUGCCACAAAGAAGGAAAAGUAUGACAAGAUAUGUGAGAAAAAGUUAUCAACUCCUAUUGAGGUGCUGUGCAAGUCUCAUCCCGUAGAGUUUGCGUCGUACUUCCAUUACUGCCAUUCAUUGACUUUUGAUCAGCGGCCUGAUUAUGGAUUCUUGAAGCGCUUAUUUCGUGAUUUGUUUGCUCGUGAAGGAUAUGAAUUUGACUACAUCUUUGAUUGGACUAUCAUAAAAUACCAGCAAGCUCAAAAGAGUAGAACUCAGUCUCGAUUAUCACCAGCACCUGGGGCGAGUAGCAGUCAUGCAGCACCAGUAGUCAUGGACAAUCAUCAAGGUAUCAAUGCUCCAUAUUCAGCUGAGACUACAGAGCGCGUAAGACUGGGUAUUUCCACUGGCUCUGGCAUACGUAUGCACUUCAAAUCAGGAACAGGAAAGCAUGAUUCUGAUGCUGUUGACAAGAAUAUUCUAAAAGAUGCACACAUGCCUUCCACUUCAUUUUCACACUCUGGUCCACCAAAAAGAAAUGUUGCCAAACCUAUGUUACCUAUUGAUGCUCCAAAUCUGGUUCAUGGAGAUGGCAACAGAAUUGGUCCUUCGAGUAGCUGGAUUUCAUCAUUGCAUCGCGUUCAUUCUGCCAAGUGAAACAAAAGAUCGUCUCUUCGCUCCGGCAUUAUCUGAAGGAUAGAUAAUUACAGGCAACGUCUACCUGGCAUUUGAAGAUAAUCUAUGCCUCAUAAUGUUGACGUUUUCUGGUUGAGGAAUGGCUGGCCUGCCUGACCACUGAAUGAAAAAUGAGGCAUAGAAUGUUGAUUUUAUGGCAAUUGUCAUGUGGCAUCAACAAUUCUUAAUUGCAAUAGAUGGGUGUUGUGAAUACACUUCUCUCAUGCUGUAGGAUGGCUUGUGUUAUAUGUAGCUUCCUCGCCUUCCUAAAUGGAGUAUCUGGAAAUGUCGAGAGAGUUGAGCUUGAAGAAUGGGAAACACCCAUGGCUUCAUCUGUGAUUAUUUGAAUUCAAGGUGGCAACUGCUUGGCAAAGCUAUAAAAAGUGAGCGUGAGGUGUUUGGUGCUCCAAUAAUUUGGUUUGUUAAACCAGAGUUAUUCCUUUCGCUUUGAUGGUUUGUGCAGAUUCUAUUACAGUAUGUUUCAGAGGGGGUACCAAAUCACACAUUUUUUAGUAGUUGCAAAAGAGGUCUUUCAGUUUUUUGGAUAUGUUGAAGAUUUAGGACCUAGGAAACAUAUGAAUCGAUUUCAUUGAGUUGCUUUUGUUCACACAGCAUCUGCCAUUGCUCCUAUGUAACCCAGUAUAAAUGACUUGGGAGAUGUUGGAUAGUUCAACUAUGUUCGUGCAUGUGGCAAUAUGAUGCUUGUAAUUAGAAAUCUGAAACCCUCGGCUGUGUUCAUAUGAAUGUUUCAGGAGGUUUUGUUUCUUUGAGAUCUCAAACCUUCAGGCUGCAUCAAAUGCUAUAUCAAGUGAUGAAGGGCUGCCCUUUUGAGUCCGAGGUUUGAAUGAGAUCACAUGGCAUCGAAUGCCCUCAAUAUUCUGAGGGCAUCCAGAAGCACAUUGGUGGAGAAGGUUACCAGAGACUAUUGCUUUUAUCUGAGUUCCUGGUAUAUUCAACAGGAUGAAAGCUGUUUACAAAUGGAAACACUCUGCGAGUAUCGUAUGGUCUCACUGCCAUUAUUGGUCCAUCUUGUGUUGCGUUGUAGCUUCUGGGAAAAGGAGAAAUGAUAGCCAGGAUUGUGUCAACGCUAAAGUACUUUAUUGGAAUGUACUGGGCUUGUAAAUGUGACCAACAGUGCAUUGUUGCUCCUGGGAAUAUCCUUAAAGCUAGUUGCAUCCAAAAUAUGGGCUGGUGUUGAAUAUCAUGACAUCUGAAUCUCUGGCGUUUCUGUGGUGUCUAUCCUUUUGGGAGCCACAAGUCUUUCGUGCAAGCCGGAAUGUGCAUGUUCUUCAAUAGGUAAGUUGGGGGUUGUGGGAUUUGAAUUCUAUUGACUUCUUGGUGAUAUGGCCGGGGAUUGUCAUUAGGAAAAGCCCUAUUCCCUACAAGAAAAGAUCUUCGUCUUGAAAAAUGAAUGGGUUACAACCAAGGACCUUUCACACCAUUUCGAGGACAUCUUGAAAUCCCGUAUCACUGCUAAGGAA